AUGAUGACCGCCAGGCGGGAGGUGGCGUCCGGGUCUAGGCCGCCCUCCUCCCUCCUCCUCUGCCGCCACAGGCGCCUCCAACCGCGACCCUGUCUACCUGGCCUGGCGGAGACUCAGGGCCCUGGGGCGCUGUCCGCGGUGCUGAAGGAAGUGCUGCCGCCCCCACCCCCUCCCCCUUGGCGGGCCUCUACCCCCCAGCCCCCUCUGCCGACCAGGCCCACCCCCUACCCCUGCCCCAUCCCUCCCGCCUCUGCUGACUCUGCCCACCCCAUUCCCCCCAGACCACCCCCUUCCUCCCUCCCCUCCUCCCCUCUGCCGACCCCACCCACCACCCUCUUCCCCCAGCCUACUGCCUACCUCCCCACCUGCCUAGGUCUGCAGUCCCUCCACCAAGUCUGCAGCACCCAGAUCCCCCCUACCCACUUUCCCUCCUCUGGCUCCAGUCUGCACCCCCCACCCCCAGUCCCUCAGGCAGCCUCACCCCACCAUCCCUCCCCUUGCUGGGGCAGGCAGUUUCCACCACACUGGCCCAAAGGCUUGGGGAUGGGAAGCAGGUGGGUGCUCCACCCUGCCCUACACACAGCAUCCAGGGUCCUGGACUUGGACGGGUGGCCCCUCCAGCCACACUGGCCUCCAGCCCGGGCCCCCACAAAUCUCUGGCUCCAGGUAUGGUCAGCACUCACCUGUUGGACUCAUAACCUUCCCCACCUCUCCUGCCACAGCCCACCCCCACCCCCAGCAGAAACGACUCAGGACUCCAGGGGUGUGGGGGGUUACCCAUCUAGGCCAACCCCAGCACCACAGACCCGGCUGGCACCUCAGGGCCUGCCUGUGCCUCCUCUGAGGGGCGGGUUACCUGCCAGCUUGCACACCGUGUGGCUGGGCAGGUGGAAUCCACAGGAAGCACAGCCAGCAGAUCCCUCAGAAGCUACACAGGGCCAGAGUGCUCACCCCAAACACCCCAGCAAAACAAAAGGUAGAAAGCAGGAGAAAAGGAUCAAUAGUUCAGAAUCCAGGGGGAGCAAACAGGUGUGCAAAGCCCCAGGUAGGAGGCAAUGCUGGGGCAUUCAGGCCCGGGGCAGCAGGGAGGAGAACGGUGUCCAGCACCAGGUGGGCUGGGGGCUCCCACCAGCUGGGGUUCCUUGGAGGUCUCCUUCACCAGGGUGCCCCUGGUGCAUUGCCAAGUUGUGA
rnacentral:lncRNA from 1 species